rnacentral:snRNA from 1 species
UUGCUUGCUUUGGCAGCACAUGUGCUAAAACUGGAAUGAUAGAGAGAAGAUUAGCAUGGCCCCUGCGCAAGGAUGACACACAAAUUUGUGAAGUGUUCCAUAUUUUA